GACAGAGGGUGCAAACGUUGCUCGGAAUCACUGGGCGUAAAGGGCGUGUAGGCGGGAAGGAAAGUCAGAUGUGAAAUCCCCAGGCUCAACCUGGGAACUGCAUUUGAAACUCCCUUUCUUGAGUACCGGAGAGGAGAGUGGAAUUCCUGGUGUAGAGGUGAAAUUCGUAGAUAUCAGGAGGAACACCUGUGGUGUAGACAGCUUUUUGGACCAUAGCUGACGCUGAGACACGAAAGCGUGGGUAGCAAACAGG
rnacentral:rRNA from 1 species